rnacentral:rRNA from 1 species
AGUGAACGCUGGCGGUAGGCCUAACACAUGCAAGUCGAACGGCAGCACAGUAAGAGCUUGCUCUUACGGGUGGCGAGUGGCGGACGGGUGAGGAAUACAUCGGAAUCUACUUUUUCGUGGGGGAUAACGUAGGGAAACUUACGCUAAUACCGCAUACGACCUACGGGUGAAAGCAGGGGAUCUUCGGACCUUGCGCGAUUGAAUGAGCCGAUGUCGGAUUAGCUAGUUGGCGGGGUAAAGGCCCACCAAGGCGACGAUCCGUAGCUGGUCUGAGAGGAUGAUCAGCCACACUGGAACUGAGACACGGUCAAGACUCCUACGGGAGGCAGCAGUGGGGAAUAGUGGACAAUGGGCGCAAGCCUGAUCCAGCCAUACCGCGUGGGUGAAGAAGGCCUUCGGGUUGUAAAGCCCUUUUGUUGGGAAAGAAAAGCAGCAGGUUAAUACCCCGCUGUUCUGACGGUACCCAAAGAAUAAGCACCGGCUAACUUCGUG